UACGGAGGGUGCAAGCGUUGUCCGGAUUUAUUGGGUUUAAAGGGUGCGUAGGUGGCCCGUUAAGUCCGGGGUGAAAGCCCACUGCUCAACAGUGGAACUGCCCUGGAUACUGACGGGCUUGAGUCCAGACGAGGUUGGCGGAAUGGAUGGUGUAGCGGUGAAAUGCAUAGAUACCAUCCAGAACCCCGAUUGCGUAGGCAGCUGACUAGGCUGGUACUGACACUGAGGCACGAAAAGCGUGGGGAGCGAACAGG
rnacentral:rRNA from 1 species